rnacentral:rRNA from 1 species
AGUGAACGCUGGCGGUAGGCCUAACACAUGCAAGUCGAACGGCAGCACAGUAAGAGCUUGCUCUUACGGGUGGCGAGUGGCGGACGGGUGAGGAAUACAUUGGAAUCUACUUUUUCGUGGGGGAUAACGUAGGGAGACUUACGCUAAUACCGCAUACGACCUACGGGUGAAAGCAGGGGAUCUUCGGACCUUGCGCGAUUGAAUGAGCCGAUGUCGGAUUAGCUAGUUGGCGGGGUAAAGGCCCACCAAGGCGACGAUCCGUAGCUGGUCUGAGAGGAUGAUCAGCCACACUGGAACUGAGACACGGUCCAGACUCCUACGGGAGGCAGCAGUGGGGAAUAUUGGACAAUGGGCGCAAGCCUGAUCCAGCCAUACCGCGUGGGUGAAGAAGGCCUUCGGGUUGUAAAGCCCUUUUGUUGGGAAAGAAAAGCAGCAGGUUAAUACCCCGCUGUUCUGACGGUACCCAAAGAAUAAGCACCGGCUAACUUCGUG